rnacentral:sRNA from 1 species
UUCAGGCAAGCUUACGAAGUGCUUAUGAAGAAAACAAACCCAUAUUUGGGGACAACAUCUAUGGGCAAAAAAAUUGAAAUACCCCUUGUGGUUGUAUGCGGUAAAUGUCAAUGGAGAAAUUGACAAAGACUCCAAAGAUGAGACCAAUAGUGCGCAUUAACCAAAUUUAAACUCCUCGAAUAAGCCCACUGCCGGAAGACAUCCGAAUACCAGACAAUCCAAAUACUGGCCGAUUCCUUGAAAUCGUUGCCCAAUUUCAACAUUGAAAGCCUUACCCAAGAAAUUUUUAACUUACCAUUGUACAAGAAACUUAAUUGGUCGAAAAAAAAAAUGAUU